UGCAUUAAUGGGGUAGUGGUAACCUGGGUCGUUGCCAUUAAAGUGACCGAGAGCGGUAUCGACCCGCUGAGGGUUCAAUUCCCUGUAAUGUAA